rnacentral:rRNA from 1 species
CCCGCUGAACUUAAGCAUAUUAUUAAGCGGAGGAAAAGAAAUUAACCAAGAUUACCUUAGUAAGGGCGACUGAACCGGUAAAAGCUCAAAAUUAAAAUCGAAAAUUCAAAGAAUUUUCGAAUUGUAAUCAGGAAAACCUAAAUACGAAAUAUUGCUCAAUUAUGUCGAAACAUAAGCCAAAGAGGGUGAAAGCCCCGUACAGCAUUAUCUCGCUCCAGGUUUUCUCCACAAGAGUCGGGUUGCUUGGAACUGCAGCCCUAAACGGGAGAUAUGAAUCUUCCAAAGCUAAAUAUAGAUGGGAGACCGAUAGCGAACAAGUACUGUGAAGGAAAGAUGAAAAGGACUUUGAAAAGAGAGUGAAAAGAUCUGAAAUCGUUGAAAAGGAAGCAGUAAAAACUGACGGUCAUACUGAAAGACUACAUAUUAACUUAUGUAAAUCUUCUCAAAAUGACGGACAAAAUCAAGUUAUAAACAUCAAAAAAGGCAACCCCGAUUAAGAUAUUUAUAACUUGAGGGACUACUGUGAUUUUGUCAAAAUGGUUUUUACUGUCCCGUCUUGAAACACGG